rnacentral:rRNA from 1 species
AACGAACGCUGGCGGCAGGCUUAACACAUGCAAGUCGAGCGCCCCGCAAGGGGAGCGGCAGACGGGUGAGUAACGCGUGGGAAUCUACCCAUCUCUACGGAACAACUCCGGGAAACUGGAGCUAAUACCGUAUACGUCCUUCGGGAGAAAGAUUUAUCGGAGAUGGAUGAGCGCGCGUUGGAUUAGCUAGUUGGUGGGGUAAUGGCCUACCAAGGCGACGAUCCAUAGCUGGUCUGAGAGGAUGAUCAGCCACACUGGGACUGAGACACGGCCCAGACUCCUACGGGAGGCAGCAGUGGGGAAUAUUGGACAAUGGGCGAAGGCCUGAUCCAGCCAUGCCGCGUGAGUGAUGAAGGCCCUAGGGUUGUAAAGCUCUUUCAACGGUGAAGAUAAUGACGGUAACCGUAGAAGAAGCCCCGGCUAACUUCGUGCCAGCAGCCGCCGUAAAAC